UACGGAGGAUCCAAGCGUUAUCCGGAUUCAUUGGGUUUAAAGGGUGCGUAGGCGGAAUGAUAAGUCAGUGGUGAAAUCCUGCAGCUUAACUGCAGAACUGCCAUUGAUACUGGGAAUCUAGAGUCCGGAAGAGGUGAGUGGAACUCCGAGUGUAGAGGUGAAAUUCGUAGAUAUUCGGAAGAACACCAGUGGCGAAGGCGGCUCACUGGUCCGGUACUGACGCUGAGGUGCGAAAGCGUGGGGAGCAAACAGG
rnacentral:rRNA from 1 species